CCUACGGGUGGCUGCAGUGGGGAAUAUUGGACAAUGGGCGAAAGCCUGAUCCAGCAAUGCCGCGUGUGUGAAGAAGGCCUUCGGGUUGUAAAGCACUUUCAGUGGGGAAGAAAGCCUUGGGGCUAAUACCCUCGAGGAAGGACAUCACCCACAGAAGAAGCACCGGCUAACUCCGUGCCAGCAGCCGCGGUAAUACGGAGGGUGCGAGCGUUAAUCGGAAUUACUGGGCGUAAAGCGCGCGUAGGCGGUCUGAUAAGCCGGUUGUGAAAGCCCCGGGCUCAACCUGGGAACGGCAUCCGGAACUGUCAGGCUAGAGUGCAGGAGAGGAAGGUAGAAUUCCCGGUGUAGCGGUGAAAUGCGUAGAGAUCGGGAGGAAUACCAGUGGCGAAGGCGGCCUUCUGGACUGACACUGACGCUGAGGUGCGAAAGCGUGGGUAGCAAACAGGAUUAGAUACCCUGGUAGUC
rnacentral:rRNA from 1 species